AAGGGAGACCUAAUUCAGGUAGGAGACGAAAAAAAAGUAGUCCCUACCAAGAAUCAAUCCCAAAAGGUCGGAGCGAGGCGAAACUGGCUUUCAAACUAGGUUCUGGGUUCAAACAAGACCUGAAUCAGGAACAAGGGCUAUUAGCUCAGGUGGUUAGAGCGCACCCCUGAUAAGGGUGAGGUCCCUGGUUCGAGUCCAGGAUGGCCCACCUGCACAGGUGGCAAAAACAAAGAAGCGAGGAAUCAGCACCUUAUCUUACUUAUAUAGUAAGAGAGAAUGCUGGCUCUGAGUAAAGAGUCCAGAGGAACCUUGAAAACUGCAUAGAGCUAGGUGAAAAAGCCAAAAAAGAAGACCGCAA
rnacentral:tRNA from 1 species